rnacentral:lncRNA from 1 species
UUUGUACAUUUGGAUUUAGGUUAGCCCUUAAGAUCUUACCUACCAUUUACCUUAGAAAAAUUUUAAAUAGUAUGUAAGAUAUUUUUUUAGGGUUUUAAAUUAGUUUUAAAUAUCGUAUAGGAUUAGAAUCUUAAGUUAAUUUGUAAAUAUCUUUUAGGGCUUUAUUCAAGAUUAAAACUAAAAAUUUUUGUAGGUGAAUUGUAAAUCAUGAGUAGGUGUUUCUAAGUAUUUUAUUUUAGAAACUUUUUUAAGAAAGCUAAUAAAUGUUAUUUAAGAUUUAUUAUUUUAGGAUUUUGACGAAUUUAAAUCUUAGAUCAAGAAUU